AUUUACCUCGAUGGAGUCGAAAGAUUUAAUUUUGGAAAACCGUUUAACUUUCUGUCGGAGAAAUUCCGGACGUGACUCGUAUAAAACCGUUUUUCCUAGGCCGGAUAGACCGCCUGGAAACGCUUCGGCUUUCCAACCUGCGGGUCCCGGGUUUGAGUCUCUGGUCCCACCACUCGAAAAUGUUCAUCGUGGGAUCCGGCCCGGCAGUCCUCCGUCGGGAUGGGCAGCCGGUGGAAGGGCCGGUUUCGCCCCCCUCACUUAGUGUUCUAAUGGAAUGGAAAAUGGCAUCUCUGUUGACAAAAUAAAAAACGUUUUUUCUGUGUUAAACGUUAAGACCGAACCUCAUCUAGGCAAAACUAACACGGAACGCAAAAAGUUCAUUUUGCCUACGGAAAUCGAAUUAAGAUAUUUUCGAUUUUCUUCCCGUUUAGUGACACGAAAGAGCAGUGAGCCAACCGGCUGCCACCGCAUCACCGCUGUCAAACAGUGGGCCACGGGCCGCUCGCCUAACCCGAUAUGACAUCACGGGUUAGGCCAGUCGGUAAAGUUCGAAGAACAAAACAAACCCGGGACGAAGGAUGCGAAGUGGUAAAAAUUAAGGUCGAACUUUUUUAAUAGAAGUUUUCGAGCAUCCGCGCUUAUACGAUAAAAAGCGGCCCAAUUUUAAAGAUACGUUAUUAAUGGCGGCUACCAUCGGCCAGAAGUUUUGGACGGCGGAUAGAUUUACCCCGAACUUGCGCGUGACUCGAACUAAGUUAUGUCACCCUAUUCCGUUUUAUACAUUUAUUUAUUUACCAACAAAAAAAAAAAAAAACAUAACUAAUCCAAUGACAGAAAAUGAAACUCACUAUAAUCAGGCGAUAAAUGAAAAAUUCUUACAAAGUAUGAAUUAUAAUUAAAUAAGGCUCUGGCAUAGGGAAUGAGCAACAUCUCUCCAUUCCGCAAAUUAUAUCUAGAAGAGCAAAAUUGAAUUUUUUUCUAAACAAAAUUAUUUUCCCAUUAAAAAUUUGAUUAAAUCGGGUUUAAUUCUACCUUCUGACAGAAGGACAUAAGAUAAAAGAUGAUAAUUUUCACUGGUAAAAACGAUAUUAUUAUUUCUAAAUAAAUUUAACAAAGUGUUUUUGAAUUUUUUGAUUAAAACUAUGACAUCUUAACAAUAUAUUUUUAUAAAGCGAAAUUAUAAUCUUUGAAUCGAUAUACCACCUUAUCUAAAAUAUUUACCCGAAAAUUCUCCAACCGAUCGGUAAAUAAUUAUCAGGCUGCUAACGAAUUUAUCACAAACUUUUUUUUAUUCGGAUAAGAGCGGUGCCUAGAAAUGGCCCAGAAGCCACGGAUAGCGCUUACGCGUCGCGCCAAGAGAACGACGCCAAGUACCGAGCAAUUUCACCAGAGGCCGCUGUUUUCCAGCUCCCCAUUACGGAAAAUAAUUAUUAUCUAUACAGGAUAUAUUUUCUUUUUCUGUCCGCAAAAUGAUCUGAUUGAUUGAUGUCAAAAGCGCCAAUUAUUGACACUCGUCGUCGUAUGAAAUUAAUUGGUAUUAAAGCGACAUAUUUGUCUUUACAGCGCUCAAUCUCUCUCCCCGUGUGUUUUUAUCCGAGAAACGAUACGUAAUAAAAAGAGAAAACAUAGAUUUUGGAUACGACCAUUGUACGAUUCUGAGGAUUGCCUGGGACCAUCGUUAAAGAAUUGCUUUUAUACCACAGGCAAUAUCGGUUAAACUUCGAAAUACGGUUCAUUUUUCUAUCUACUUACAAGAAAUUCCAAAUUUAGCGUCUACAACUGCCCAUGCUGUUUUUUUUUUUUUUUAUCGAUACCUCCUUAAAACCUCUGUGUGUCUUGUCAAAUAACUGGGGAUAUUUUCUAAUUUCUUUCACGAAUAUUUCCUAUGUUUAUUUCCUGAUUCGUCGUCCUCUCGUCUUCCAUACUUAAAUUUCACUCUCUAUUUGGAGCGCGUCACCUGUGACGUCGCUCUCGACCGUACUCGAUUGAUUUAAAAUAUCUUUUUCCGGAUCAGGUUACGGAAAAGUUAAAACUCGCUCGACUCUGCAUUCCGGAUACUGCCUAUACGGAAAAUUUUAGAAUUUUCCGCUUCCGAAUUAUUUUUAUAUUGUGCUUUUCCGUAGAUGGAAGUUUUUCCAUAUACGAGGCCCAGCCUUUAGACGGUUAGGCGAUUUUUUCCUCUGGUUGCCUGCCUAGAUGGAAUAAACGGUGUGGGUUAAACCCCAGUUGGGGAUAGGAGGCGACGAAACUUAAACGUCGGUAUCGGAUGAAAGAUUUGGGAUCGGGAUCGAGCCUGGGGAAAGCGCCUUUCCUAAUAGCUCGUUUUUAACUGGUUAAAAAGCGCCGAUUGCUAGUUAAGUUCGAACGUUUGGAAGUGUGACGGAAGGUAAAAAGAUCUUUUUAUUUUUUUCAGGAGGGAGGAGAAAUGGAAGCUUACGGAGGGUCGACCAACAGCGGAU
rnacentral:lncRNA from 1 species